GAUGUAGAAGACAGAUGGAGUGCAAAGGAGGGAAUACACACAUGCGAGGCCAGCACUAUAGCCCAACAGACUGCAGUAAGCCAGCCAGGCUGGGGGCCUGCCCAACAGGAGCAGCAUUCUGCCAAGGGGAGGGGGAGAGGCCUGGAGGACGGAGGAGGGCCUUCAAGAUUCUAAACUUCAAGUUCAGCCCCAGAGCCCUGCCAGGUGAAUGUGCUCACUGAGUAGCAGAAGACCAGGUUUUCUUCUUCAAACAAAGCUUUUCCUGGAAAUUUUAAUACUUCGACCUUCUUGUGAUGUCUCAUCACCUGGCCAGAGUUCAGCUUGCCUUUUUCCUAAGAAAACAUGGCUUUACACAUCUCACAACAGUCUCCAAACCGUCUUCCUGCUUCCUGUGUCUCAUCACUUUGAAAGAAGAUAUCCAGGAGUCUACCUUGAGAAUUCAAAGGGAUAUCCAUGACAAUGUGAGGAGUUCCAUUAGCGAUUCCUGUCCUGAUUUCAGAGCUCUUUGAUGCUUCCAAACCUGAGAGAGAGAAAAAAAAUGGAGAGAAACAUCAGGAAAUCUUUCCUCGGGGGCAUCCUCCACAGGCCUUCAGCUGAGGACACAUUUCUUUACCAGCUAACUGCCCGACCAUGCCCCUACUGCCCCUGGCUCCCUCCCUGCCAUCCGACACUGCUCCACCGUUCCACAGGAGGUUACAGGAAUGCUUGGCAAAGAAUCAUCUGAGCUUCAUCAGUGACAGCUGUGUCUUCUGUCUUUGCCUCAAUCUGGAGAAGAAUACUUCGGGCUGAACAACACAGUGGCCACCAGAGACCCAUUUUUAAAACCCCCUUCCAUUCCUUCUUCAUUCCUACCAGUCAUCAUUUGUGGAUUCGUCUGUCACUGUGGCUUGGAAACUUGGCUCUAGAGAAGAUAGUGGAGGCCCCCCCCCUAAGGAAUCUCCUGACUGUUGGAAGGUGCCAACUAUAACUAUAACUCAUUUUGAAGGAGCCAACAGCUCUGGUGCCAUGACAAACCUGCGUCCCCGAAGCCCCUCUGCAGUUAGAUUGGGUGCUCACCAUUCAGGACACUGUCUCACAAAUGGGGAGCUACCUUGACCCAUAUAGUAUUCUCCCAGUGAUGCUUUGGAAAGAACAGAGCACAAAGGCCAAAUUUCCUGAGAGAGGGUUGGCCUUGCAGGUGAGCACAUGUCCUGGUUGUCCUUUGCCCUUCCUGGCCCUGGCUUGGGUUUGAGAGCAGAGAUUACAGGAUUUUUGUUCUAGACUUAGUUGUUGCAAUGAUGAAGACAGCCCUCCUGCCAAGUCCAGCAAGGUACUUGUAUGCCAAGACCAGCCCAUCCAAGAGCUGGCUUAUGUGCCCAGUGUGCUUGUACGGCACACACCCACCCACAGUGGAGCAGAGUGAAUGGAUAGAAGAUCCACAGGCUAGAUGAGUCAUCACCUCUGUUGCUUACUUGGGGAGAGAAACCACAAACCACCGAGAGGCUUACAUUUCCUUGUUUCAAUCAGGCUGUUCACGUGGCACCUGAAAGGAAGAUUAACUAGAUGCUAAAAUGCACUUCUGGAGUCCAAUUCCAUUGACAGGGAAAGCUUCCAUGUACCCCAAGACUCCAUUGGGAGAAAACAGGCUACAAUU
ensembl:lncRNA